rnacentral:lncRNA from 1 species
CAGGGAAUAGGCCAGCGCCGGCUGCGCCCAGCCUGCUCCUCUCCCCUGACGGUCACAGCCGCCCCGACCUCAUCGCUCUGUCCACGGCCAGAAAAAGAAUUCAGGACACGGACAGAAGGGGCCAGAGGAAGAAGCGAUGAGACCCGCCCUAUGUCCAGGACACAACUUCCCUGCCCUUCUCGCCUGCGACGGCUCCUCCUCCACCUCCUGACCUACAGCCCAGCCCCGCGCCUGCCUCCAGGAACGGGAACCCACGACCCAGCCUCGCACCUGCCUCCAGGGACGCACGACCCAGCCCCUCACCUGCCUCCAGGGACCGGGACCCACGACCCAGCCCCGCGCCUGCCUCCAGGGAGCGGCACCCCUACCCUGUGCGUCGUCCUCGGAUUGAGGGGCCUUGCUCCGUUGCGGUGCAGGAAACCAUGGCGAUGUGCGAGAGGGUCAGGGUCGUGCUGGCACAGGUAGGAGGAGAGAGUUAUGACAGGAAGGAGCUUGAGCAAAACCAGGAAGGUUGGAAAAGUCAGGGAGCCAGCGGUGAACACUGAAUUCCGUAGGAGGGCAAGAACUCAGGAGAAGGUCGCCGUGGCCGGUUCAGGUGAGUUUGUGUGACCCGCUCAGCACUUCGGAGUUUGUUCUGCACCACACCGUGGGAGGUGAUGGAUAUCGGAAUGGGUUCGUUUCCAGGACUCGUCAGCUAGCCACGUGCCUGAGAGCGAGGACCCUCAGUAAGCGACAUCCAGGAAAGGAGGCUGGGCCUGCAAGAAUCGCCGGACUCAGGGGCCUUGGAUGUGUGUUCCCUGGACUGAAUGAACGGGGCUGUGCACCUCUCUGUCUGCAGCCGUACUCUCUACCCUGUCUCAACCCCUGCUGGAAAAGAAAAUAAUGGAAACACGAUUUUUUUCUGGAGUUAUUUUUAUUUAGAAUUGUGAUUCUAGAAGAAUGAAUUCAUCCUUUUAGAAACUGUUGUAAGAAGCACGUGACAUGAAAUCGACCCUCUUAAGCCAUGGUUGAGCGCGCACUCCCCAUCUUACGACAGGCACCCUUGUGCAGCGGUCUCUAGAACUCACUCACUUUGCAUAGCUCAGGGUCUGUGCUGCUUCAGCACCAUCUCCUCGCAUUCCUCUCCCCGAGCUCCUGCUAACCGCAGUCUAGUCUCGGUACUUGAGAGUUGGACUCCCUUAGGUUUCACAUCAGGACG